CCCGCGACGCCGUCCAUCUGUUCAGCGCCACCUCGCGACUCUCAUCCGUCUGCCUAGCACCGCCCCUCCCCACGAACUGAUUUAAUGGACAACGACACAUCUACGGUGGAGCUCUGUUUUGCCGCCGCCCCUGCCCAGCUUCGUAGUCUGUGAAUGGCAGGUAUAGCUUGAGCUACAUCCCUUUCACGAGGUCCAUGGUUUCAAAGGUCGUGGUUUCCUGUUUUGAUACUGAUUUUUAGAGCAAUGUACACCAUAUAUAAGAGACCAUGAUGUAAUCCAUUCAAGAACUACUUAACAUGAUCACCCUAUGUGCGAUUUUUGCGAGUUGAUGCACACAGGGAGUCUAGUCCACUCUGAACGCAGCAGAGCUGCAGAAUUGAGAUUUGUAUAUGCUGGACUGAGAUUGUGAUCAACUUUACCUAAUUUCCUAUGUUAAUUGAAAUUGAGCUGUUAUUGAACUGUGUAGUCUUUUCACCUAGGCCGUUGAACUCCAUUGAAACCAACUCCACUUUUGCAUGUUGACAAAGUACAUUUGCUGAAAUUGUGGUGAUCGUUAAUGGAGAUGUAUAUUAUCUGUGGAAGAAAUGUUUAUUUUAUCUCCUCUUAGAAGAAUUUAUGGCUAAAUUUAUAGCAAUGAAUUUGAGGUGUUUUUGUGUGAAA